CAAUAGCGUAUAUUAAAGUUGUUGCAGUUAAAAAGCUCGUAGUUGGAUUUGUGGCGUACGGUGGGUUCCGGGCACUUGUUGUCUGAGUAACUUGCUGUUGCCAUCCUUGGGUGGAACCUGUGUGGCAUUAGGUUGUCGUGCAGGGGAUGCCCAUCAUUUACUGUGAAAAAAUUAGAGUGUUCAAAGCGGGCUUAUGCCGUUGAAUAUAUUAGCAUGGAAUAAUGAGAUAGGACUUUUUUGCUAUUUUGUUGGUUUGCGCAAAGAGGUAAUGAUUAAUAGGGACAGUUGGGGGUAUUCGUAUUCCAUUGUCAGAGGUGAAAUUCUUGGAUUUUUGGAAGACGAACUACUGCGAAAGCAUUUACCAAGGAUGUUUUCAUUAA
rnacentral:rRNA from 1 species